UACGUAGGGGGCAAGCGUUGUCCGGAAUCAUUGGGCGUAAAGAGCGCGUAGGCGGUCCGGUAAGUCGGUUGUGAAAACUGGGGGCUCAACCCUCAGAGGCCGACCGAUACUGCUGGGCUAGAGUCCGGAAGAGGCGAGUGGAAUUCCUGGUGUAGCGGUGAAAUGCGCAGAUAUCAGGAAGAACACCCGUGGCUAAGGCGGCUCUCUAGUACGGUACUGACGCUGAGACGCGAAAGCGUGGGGAGCGAACAGG
rnacentral:rRNA from 1 species